rnacentral:rRNA from 1 species
UACGUAGGGGGCAAGCGUUGUCCGGAAUCAUUGGGCGUAAAGAGCGUGUAGGCGGCUUGGUAAGUCCGCUGUGAAAGUCCAGGGCUCAACCCUGGAAAGCCGGUGGAAACUGUCAAGCUUGAGUCCGGAAGAGGCGAGUGGAAUUCCCGGUGUAGCGGUGAAAUGCGCAGAUAUCGGGGAGGAACACCAGUAGCGAAGGCGGCACUCUGGGCCGUGACGUGACGCUGAGGAGCGAAAGCGUGGGUAGCAAACGAG